rnacentral:tRNA from 1 species
CCGACCUUAGCUCAGUUGGUGUAGCGGAGGACUGUAGUUUGAUUAAUUUAAAUCUAAAUUGGAAAUCCUUAGGUCGCUGGUUCGAAUCCGGUAGGUCGGA